AUACGGAGGGUGCAAGCGUUAAUCGGAAUUACUGGGCGUAAAGCGUACGUAGGCGGUUCGUUAAGAUAGAUGUGAAAGCCCCGGGCUUAACCUGGGAACUGCAUUUAAAACUGGCGGACUAGAGUUGAGUAGAGGGGAGUGGAAUUUCAGGUGUAGCGGUGAAAUGCGUAGAGAUCUGAAGGAACACCAGUGGCGAAGGCGACUCCCUGGACUCGAACUGACGCUGAGGUACGAAAGCGUGGGUAGCAAACGGGAUUAGAAACCCCAGUAGUCC
rnacentral:rRNA from 1 species